CUGCACCAUUUAAAAUAAAAUACAAUGGGCUGUGAAAUAAACUAAACUAAUUAAAAUAAAAUAUCUUUAAUCUUAAUUAAAGAUUUUGCCCUCCUCCGUGAAAAGAUAUUCCUCUUCCGUAAUCAGCAAAUAAAAUACUAAAAAUAAAUCUACUUCUAACUAAAUCACGUUUAACAAAAAAAAAGGAAGAAUUCGAAAAUUAGGCCCCUAAUCCCACGUUAAAACUGUUUCCACCCAUCCCACAAAUCUCUCCCAUAUCCUUAACCCCCUUUCCCCUAUAUUAAAUCUUCAACCAUUACUUCUUCUUCUCACCCAACGUAGCUGCAAACAAGAAAGCGAAAAUCAUUCUUCAACUUCUACUCAAGGUAAACUAAUUCUUAUCAAUUUGUAUCUAAAUUGCUCCUACUUUGGAAUCUAACACUAGACCACUAUCAACAGAAAUUGGAAUCCUUUCGGCAUCAAGACCCUGCCUUUUUAGCCUUGUGAACUUCACAAUCCAAACUCAAUUCAUAGAGGUGAGACUUCGCAAGGGAAUCGAGAUACCAAAGGGAAGGAAGUGUAGAGAAUUAAUCAAUUGAGGUUGAUCGGCGACGAGGAUGUGGUGGUGUUGAGCAAAUGAAUUUAAGAUUUUAAUGUGUCGUUGAACCUUGAGUGUCGUUGUGUUUUCACACAUGACGUCACUCUCUCUCUUGGUCGUUUCCGCUGUGACUUUUCGUUUAUUCAUGUUUUAUUUGGGCCGACAACUUUAAUUGUUAGGAUAAUGGAUAUUCCGAAUUUCUUGUUGGAUAAUAUUAAACUCUUGGUUAUUUAAUUGGAAAUUAGUAGUUGGUCCAGCUUGUGU